rnacentral:rRNA from 1 species
UACGUAGGGACCGAGCGUUGUCCGGAAUCAUUGGGCGUAAAGAGCGUGUAGGCGGCCUUUUAAGUCCUGCGUGAAAUCCUGCGGCUCAACCGCAGACGGUCGUGGGAAACUGGAAGGCUAGAGUGCGGGAGAGGAGAGUGGAAUUCCCGGUGUAGCGGUGAAAUGCGCAGAUAUCGGGAAGAACACGCGUGGCGAAGGCGGCUCUCUGGAACGCAACUGACGCUGAGACGCGAAAGCGUGGGGAGCAAACAGG